GUGCUCGCUUUGGCAGCACAUAUACUGAAAUUGGAACCAUAUAGAAAAUAUUAGCAUGGCCCCUGAACGAGGAUGACACACAAAUUCAUGAAGUGCUCCAUGUUUUU